rnacentral:tRNA from 1 species
GCAACGGUGGUUCAGUGGUAGAAUUCUCGCCUUCCACGCGGGAGACCCAGGCUCAAGUCUACCAAUGCA